GCUUCUUCCCGGCCUUAAAGCAGAGGAUGUGGGGGCUCUCAAGGGGAGGGAAUGGGAAUGCAGCGGGAAGAGCGCAGUCGUGCCAGGAAGUGGUGCUAUGUUGGCAGCAGCAUAUACCAUCCCCAAGGAAGCUGAAUCAGCUGAGUAAGUGGGAGAUGACAGAGCCAACGCACUGCCUGUGUUAGGGGAGCAACAAAACCCCGAUAGCGAUAUAAAUUAUUGGAACAGUGCUCAUCUGGGGAACUGCAGACAGACAAAGCAGCUCUGAGGAAAUGCAUCCCUGUCAACAGACGUUUGUUUCAGCUGAGGCUUGAAUAACAGCAGAAAUGAAAAACAGAGUAAUCUGGUGAGGAGAAAAUGAACUGCAGUCACGGUAAGUAUUUUUGAAUAAUUUGUUACGAAGUUCAUGGAUCUGAUGAGCAGAUUACUAUAUGCAUUUCUGGACAUAAUUUUUUGUCUUUGAAGAAUAAAAAUUGCUUUUCCUUUAAUGUGAUGCGUGGGCAGAUUAUUUCUUUUCUGUUCUCUUAAUACGUGGAAUGGAUACUUUAUAUGAAGAAAGGAAUUUCAAAUAUUUGUAGGGGAGAAAACUCUUUUAUUUUGCCUUCCAAAUAUAUACUGACAUUUUGAUAUAAGUAUGUACUGAUACUUUGGCUGUGUGGUCAGUGUCUUUCAGUGGAACGUUCUUAUAAGACUGACGAUUUCAUUUCAAUUUAUGAAACUAUGUUGAUAUUAGUUACAUACCUGCAUUCAUGCAUGAGCAAACUCAGUGCUAAAGCUGGCAGCCUGUAAUGAGUAUGCAUACAUUUAUAUGACAGUCUGAAACAAACUUUUUUAUGAACAGUUUGAUUUUCAACAAAAAGGUGUUGGUGUGUGGUUCUGAUAGCUAAGAAGUAAAUUUUGCCAUUAAUGUACACUUCAUGGGCCAAGUUUUGAAGGGGACAAAUUAACUCCAGCCUGUGGAAGAUUAAGGAGCUCUGAAUUGUGCAACCAACCUCAGACUGCCAUGACAAAUAAGUUAAGAAAGGUUCAUUUGGAUUUUCUGAAAUUAACUUGCCAUGAUUUCUCACUAUGUUUUCCAAACAAUACACUUUAGCAAUGAAUUGAAAGCUCCCAGCCUGCUAUAGCAACGGUUUUUAGAACUGUUUUCAGAAUCUCUGUGGGGAACUGCAGCACUGCGCCAGCCUGGAAUAUUGCAUGUUUCAUUAACUUAUUAAGAAACCUUUCUAAAGUGAAAAACGGUGGUGUAACUUAGCAUGGUUGUAUCUCCUCUGAGAGACUUUGGUUUGACUGUAUCUUGUCAGAGGCUCUAGAUGAAUUCUGUACAUAAAUGCUCUCAUGGAGGCUGCGAUUUCUAACAGAAAAAGCUUGCUCUGCAGAUGUGCAUUUCAAUCUGAUUGACUGUCAUGGAAGUAGCACGAGGUUCUGAAAUGAAUUCUAUUGCUUCUGAGGCCUAAAGUAGUCUACAGGCAGUAUAUUUGUGCUGCCCUGGAGUAGGAACUUACCUUGAGUGAGACAAUUACACUCAAAACAUGGGCUGCACAGAGUUGAUGUGGCAUAUGACUCCUACACCUGACUGCAUGUCAGAGGGGCUUAGUUAGCACUUUGUUUUCUCUGGCAUUUUUAAAAAUCUCACAUUAUUUAAACUUUACAAACUUACGAUCAGCCUAAAAUGGAUGGCUAACAUGAGUUGACUAAGUAACGUUAUUUGAAUAACAGAAGAACCAAGAGUCAUUAGCCAGGAUUAUGACCCACAUUUCAGUUGCUACUCACUCCAGCAACUUCUAUCAGGGAAGAUUUACUAUGCUUCAACUUAUCAGUAUUAGUUUAGUAGAGCUGUAAAGAGCACAGUGCAGACUACUUUGUUUUCUAGCUCAGUAAUCAAUUGCAGAACCCAGCUAUACAAAAACAUACUUUUCUGGAUUCAGCUCACUAGAGGCUGCUGGUCACUGGUUUCUCCAGCAUCUUCACCCUCUCACCCAUCACCUCGUCAGUGCCAUCUUACUGGUAAAAUCAAACAAUACGUAACCGUAUAUUUUGUGGUACAAUGACAGCUAAGAAUAAACUAAAUAUGUAUAUACAUUCAUUGCUUCAUUGCCUCAGAUAUUUCACACUUUUCAUGUAAAGCUUCCAAAAACUUUAGUGGGAUACUCCCAAUUAGAGGGAGGACACAGUCCUGCAACUGCAUGCUGCUCAAAUGUUUUCUAGCACAGAUGUGAAAGCAGUUGUCUGUACUCCAGUGUCCUUCAUUAAAGGUAAAGAGGUAAAAUGAAAGCACAGAAUUGAUUGUUGAGAUUCAGAGCGCUGGUUCGUGCCCUUUAUAUGUAAAAAAGUACACCCUAUAAAAUUCAGAUUGAAAUUUUCUGAAAGGAUGCAUGAAAUUUCUCCUGCUCUUAUCCUCCUAUGCCAUUUUCAGUGACUAUAAAAUAAAACCUAUUAAAUAUAGAAUGUAUAUUUUGCUGUGCUAUUCCUCUUCCAUGUAUAGUUAUCAAGAUAGCUACAGAUUAUUUAUAGACAACUUUUUGGUGCAAUUAAUGUGUCAGUAAAGCAAACCAAGUGUUUCUCUUUAUAAAAUGUCUUUCAAGCAUCCUUGAGGACACAUUAAAGAAGCCAUAUUAAGUAAGCUAAUUAGCAUGAUCAGAGUGUGCAUUCCUUCCUUAUGAUUAACUCUGGCACUGAAAGGAAAAUUCUAGGUAGAACUCGUAUAGUGACACUAAAUACAUAGAUUCUUAUAUUCUGUACUGGAAUGCAUGACACACUGGCUACAGUUUAAGUAACUGUUUAAAACAGCAAAGACAUAAUUCACCUAAAAGUCUGACUUUUUCUCAACAGAAAUACACAAGGCAUUAAACAGCUUGGACAAACAGUCUGGAAAGUUACAUUAUGGCUCAUCUUGUUACACUUUGUUCUAUUUAUGUAAUGGCAAAUUUUACUGAGUUCUGCUCUGUAAUGCUGGACCUUCAGCUUUUUUAUGAAAACAUAACAAUUUAUGGUAUCUAUUCACCAUAAAAUAAAGAUAAUCCAUGCAUAGAUUAGAAUCACUUUCAUCACUUUAUUUAAGAGAGAAGGAAUCUUGCAAAAAUACUAAUAAUGGCUAUUUUUGAGUAUCAGUAAGAACUUUGCUCUGUAGCAUUGUCCUCAAGGAAUAAGAUCAGUACUGAUGCUCAAGAAUGCUAUUUCAUAUAAACUGGUGUUACUGUACAAUCUCUGUUUAGUGACUGAGCUAUGCUUCAUUUAUGGGAGAAACAAUAGUUUUUGGUGGUAUAAUUGUGACUGUAGUAGGAUGGAAUGCUUUAUUCCUUGGAGUCUGAUCCUGAAACAGUGAAUGGCACGGUGUUGUGCAUACACAGCUUAAAUGAUGAGUUCUUCAACAGAAUUGUGUAACUUAAAUUCUGAUUUACUUGUGCACUUAAUGUGGUCUACUGCCAGCUUUCUUUGUUUACUUAAAGCAAAAUCUUGUUUAAGCCAUGAUGUGAUAUGUCAUUGUAGCUUCAAGAAAAGCUCUAAUUUCAAUUUUAUUGCUGUUUUAUAUCAGUUUAUCAAUUUCUCUCCUUUAGGGAUCUUCUCAUGCAUUUGUUUAUCAGAAGUCCAUCCCAUUACUUGAUAAGUUAUUUCUAGUUGAAGGCACACUAAUAUACAUCUUUAGAUUAAACUCUUGGUUAUUUUUAGCCAACAGUUUUGUUUUAAAAUGAGUGGUAUAAAUAGCUUUAAAAGCAUCAAUCUUGGGAAAUAAUUAUUGUUCUAAACUUUGUUGGCCUUGGGAAUAUGUUCUUUCAUGAGCUUUAUGACUGGAUGCUCAUACCUGGGAGAUGAGUAUGUUUAAAUUAACAGGCUGCAGUGCGUUAUUGUGCAAGUGCUGAAAAGUACCAUAUCUUCAAAGCUGGGCAGUACACACUGCUUUGCUUCAGGUCAGAAGUUACAGUAUGGAUCUUAUGAUUUCAGUUACACAUAGAUAAGUAAGAAAUGCUGAUCUAGGACCAUGCUUCCAAAGUUAUGUGAAACAAACUCUGAACUGAAACAAGUUCAGAUUAUCUCUCAGUUUUGAAACAAAGUAGGAAUGUGCCAUAUAGUGUAAUUUGAAAAUAUUAACUUUUGAAAAUUAGAUGCCACAAGAAGAUAGUGCUCAAGGAACAGAUUAAUGAUGUUUCAUUAUUAAAAUAUUUCUGAUUAAUAAGUACUUAUAAGGAAUAAAUUGCACUGCUUUCAGUAAUAAAUUCUAAUUGAUAUAUUUGGGACUCUGGCACUGUAAAAAAAAAAAAUAAAUAAAUAAUGAAAAUACAGAUUUCAGUCCAGCCUCCUGAUUACUGCGUUUUCUGAUUUUCCAAUACAAUCAUCCUACAGAAGAGAGAAAGGGAGAACUAAGUCAUAUGUUCCA